rnacentral:ncRNA from 2 species
CCGACUGAUAUAUUUGGUCGUAAAAGGUUGUUACACCAAACUAGUAACGACAUUCACGUGUUUUAUACCCGUUUUUGACGACCGAAAUGUGACGGUUUCACCUAAUAUAUAUCAGUCGCUAAACAUUCACUAUAUUUACCGACUAAUUACCGACCGAUGCUUACCGACUACACAUUAGUCUGUAGUCAGUCGCUAAUAAACGACUAGGUUUCUACUGAAUUCUGUAGUCGUUAUUUGGCGACUGAUUACCUACUGUUUUAUUUCGGUCGUAGCGUAGUCGCUAAUCAGUCGUGAAUCAGUCGGUAUAUUUAGCGACUACAUAAUCAGUCGGUAAAAUCAGUCGGCAAAAACGUGUUUUCUUGUAGUGUUUGAUUCCGGAGAGGGAGCCUGAGAAACGAUUAUCACAUCCAAGGAAGGGAGCAGGCGCGCAAAUUACCCAAUCCUGACUCGGUGAGGUAGUGAGAAUAAAUAACAAUACCGGGCUCUUUGAGUCUGGUAAUUGGAAUGAGUAAAAUCUAAAUCCCUUAACGAGGAUCCAUUGUAGGGCAAGUCUGGUGCCAGCAGCCGCGGUAAUUCCAGCUCCAAUAGCGUAUAUU